rnacentral:rRNA from 1 species
CUAUACAUGCAAGUCGAGCGGACAGAAGGGAGCUUGCUCCCGGAUGUUAGCGGCGGACGGGUGAGUAACACGUGGGUAACCUGCCUGUAAGACUGGGAUAACUCCGGGAAACCGGAGCUAAUACCGGAUAGUUCCUUGAACCGCAUGGUUCAAGGAUGAAAGACGGUUUCGGCUGUCACUUACAGAUGGACCCGCGGCGCAUUAGCUAGUUGGUGAGGUAACGGCUCACCAAGGCGACGAUGCGUAGCCGACCUGAGAGGGUGAUCGGCCACACUGGGACUGAGACACGGCCCAGACUCCUACGGGAGGCAGCAGUAGGGAAUCUUCCGCAAUGGACGAAAGUCUGACGGAGCAACGCCGCGUGAGUGAUGAAGGUUUUCGGAUCGUAAAGCUCUGUUGUUAGGGAAGAACAAGUGCAAGAGUAACUGCUUGCACCUUGACGGUACCUAACCAGAAAGCCACGGCUAACUACGUGCCAGCAGCCGCGGUAAUACGUAGGUGGCAAGCGUUGUCCGGAAUUAUUGGGCGUAAAGGGCUCGCAGGCGGUUUCUUAAGUCUGAUGUGAAAGCCCCCGGCUCAACCGGGGAGGGUCAUUGGAAACUGGGAAACUUGAGUGCAGAAGAGGAGAGUGGAAUUCCACGUGUAGCGGUGAAAUGCGUAGAGAUGUGGAGGAACACCAGUGGCGAAGGCGACUCUCUGGUCUGUAACUGACGCUGAGGAGCGAAAGCGUGGGGAGCGAACAGGAUUAGAU